rnacentral:rRNA from 1 species
AUUGAACGCUGGCGGCAUGCCUUACACAUGCAAGUCGAACGGUAACAGGUCUUCGGAUGCCGACGAGUGGCGAACGGGUGAGUAAUACAUCGGAACGUGCCCGAUCGUGGGGGAUAACGAGGCGAAAGCUUUGCUAAUACCGCAUACGAUCUACGGAUGAAAGCGGGGGAUCUUCGGACCUCGCGCGGACGGAGCGGCCGAUGGCAGAUUAGGUAGUUGGUGGGAUAAAAGCUUACCAAGCCGACGAUCUGUAGCUGGUCUGAGAGGAUGAUCAGCCACACUGGGACUGAGACACGGCCCAGACUCCUACGGGAGGCAGCAGUGGGGAAUUUUGGACAAUGGGCGAAAGCCUGAUCCAGCCCUGCCGCGUGCAGGAUGAAGGCCUUCCGGUUGUAAACUGCUUUUGUACGGAACGAAAAGCCUCUUUCUAAUAAAGAGGGGUCAUGACGGUACCGUAAGAAUAAGCACCGGCUAACUACGUG